GGGAGGGCGGGGGGCACCGGGACCGGCACCGGGACCGCGACCGGGACCGCGACCGGGACCCAGCAGGAUGGGAACCGAGACCGGGACCGGGACCCAGCAGGAUGGGAACCACGGCCGCCCCGGAGCGGACCCCGCACCCCGGAUAGCCCCCGUCGGAUUCUUGAAAAAUUUGAUGACAACUCCUCAGAUGAAUUAGGUUUGCAUCCGGAAGCCAAGGAGAGGAGAGAGCAGCCGACAUAGAUCUCUAAAGACAAGAAAGCCAACUGGAAGAGCAUCUCUGCACUGCAGUGAAAAGCUGCAGCUCUGGAAAGCUACCAUGUCAAAAACAAGCAGCAAGCACUAAGACCGAAUCCCCUGAAAACAGAAGUUUAAGGCCAUCUGCAUUGAACUGCCUUUGAGCUGUGGCUAGCCAGAACUGUGAGCAGCAAGGACAUGUACCCAAAGUCAGGGCAUCUCUGGUCACCCCGGACAGUAAGAGCUCCUGCAUACCCCACAGCCUGCCAGAACAGCCAUGGACUGCCCACAUCAGCUUUGCACUGGCAGCUGGCAUAACUCAGAUUCUUCUUGUAGCAUCUGGAAUCCAGGAAAUCCCAUUAUUUAUCACUGGAGACCAUUACACCUGCUUCUAAUUGAACAGAAGGAAGAGCCACCAGGAAGGUACUGCUCACUGCCAAGCAAUGGUGAGGAGAAUGACAAUACCAAGCCCCUGGAUCUUUAGAACUGCUGUCUUAUAUGGGUUUAUUGUGGGUAUUGCAACACCAAGCAUUUAAAAAUCUCUGUACAUUUCAGUAUUUAAAUAACUAAAUUCUAAACCAAACCAUAAACCAACACCACUUCACCCCUG